rnacentral:rRNA from 1 species
UAGGGAAUCUUCGGCAAUGGGGGGAACCCUGACCGAGCAACGCCGCGUGAGUGAAGAAGGUUUUCGGAUCGUAAAGCUCUGUUGUUAAGGAAGAACGAGUGUGAGAAUGGAAAGUUCAUGCUGUGACGGUACUUAACCAGAAAGGGACGGCUAACUACGUGCCAGCAGCCGCGGUAAUACGUAGGUCCCGAGCGUUGUCCGGAUUUAUUGGGCGUAAAGCGAGCGCAGGCGGUUAGAAAAGUCUGAAGUGAAAGGCAGUGGCUCAACCAUUGUAGGCUUUGGACACUGUUUAACUUGAGUGCAGAAGGGGAGAGUGGAAUUCCAUGUGUAGCGGUGAAAUGCGUAGAUAUAUGGAGGAACACCGGUGGCGAAAGCGGCUCACUGGUCUGUAACUGACGCUGAGGCUCGAAAGCGUGGGGAGCGAACAGG